UACAAUGGUUGCUUUUGUUGGCAAGUAUUGUAUGUCCGAGCUCUUUUCCACUGAGGAAGCCUUUGUUAGGAAGGGACAGGGGAGCAUAGCUAAGAGUCUGGGCCAGAAGGUGGGGGAAAUGGCUGGGUGGCCGGCCCCAUUUCUGGGGAUGAACAGGGCCAAAGCAAAGAAACCUACGGCCGUCAGCUGGAGACCCUGCUAGGAAGGCACGUCUGGGUUCCCAGUCUCGCCUUGGGAUUCUGCGCGGGCCAGACCAACUUGGGUGUUUCUCUUGCUGACAGUCUUCAACACUUAACCAACACCUCUCGGUCCAAGGCCCUGGCGGUGCAGGGGGAGAUGCCAACGGUUCACACUGCACACCGUCAGCAACCGGUUGGGAGACAUGACGGGUGCGUGAGAAAGCCUGAAAACAAGGCCACGAGCAUCCCUGGACACUGCCGUAAGUCUGUCCUAACAUCUCCUCCAUCCUCUCUGGCCCCUGAAACCUCUUCUCCAGCCACAUCCAGAGGAGAAUUAAAAGAACAAAGACACCUACUCACGAGGGAACUUGUGAAGAUUAAUCCCACAAUCCGUGGCAA
rnacentral:lncRNA from 1 species